rnacentral:rRNA from 1 species
UACGUAGGGUGCAAGCGUUGUCCGGAUUUAUUGGGCGUAAAGAGCGUGUAGGCGGCCAUACAGGUCCGUUGUGAAAACUCGAGGCUCAACCUCGAGACGUCGAUGGAAACCGUAUGGCUAGAGUCCGGAAGAGGAGAGUGGAAUUCCCGGUGUAGCGGUGAAAUGCGCAGAUAUCGGGAAGAACACCCGUGGCGAAGGCGGCUCUCUGGGACGGUACUGACGCUGAGACGCGAAAGCGUGGGGAGCGAACAGG